GAUGAAGAACGCAGCGAAAUGCGAUAAGUAAUGUGAAUUGCAGAAUUCAGUGAAUCAUCGAAUCUUUGAACGCACAUUGCGCCCGCCAGUAUUCCGGCGGGCAUGCCUGUUCGAGCGUCAUUUCAACCCUCAAGCCCCCCGGGUUUGGUGUUGGGGAUCGGCUCUGCCUCACGGCGGUGCCGCCCCCGAAAUACAUUGGCGGUCUCGCUGCAGCCUCCAUUGCGUAGUAGCUAACACCUCGCAACUGGAACGCGGCGCGGCCAUGCCGUAAAACCCCAACUUCUGAAUGUUGACCUCGGAUCAGGUAGGAAUACCCGCUGAACUUAAGCAUAUCAAUAAGCGGAGGA
rnacentral:misc_RNA from 1 species